AGGGGUAUAGUUAAAUCGUUAGAGCAACGGUCUCCAAAACCGUCAAUCCGGGUUCGAGUCCUGGUACCCCUGCCA
rnacentral:tRNA from 1 species